AUUGAACGCUGGCGGCAUGCUUUACACAUGCAAGUCGAACGGUAACAGGCCUUCGGGUGCUGACGAGUGGCGAACGGGUGAGUAAUGCAUCGGAACGUACCCAGAGGUGGGGGAUAACGCAGCGAAAGCUGUGCUAAUACCGCAUGUGAUCUGAGGAUGAAAGCGGGGGACCGAGCAGCAAUGUUUGGCCUCGCGCCUUUGGAGCGGCCGAUGUCGGAUUAGCUAGUUGGUGGGGUAAAGGCCUACCAAGGCGACGAUCCGUAGCUGGUCUGAGAGGACGACCAGCCACACUGGGACUGAGACACGGCCCAGACUCCUACGGGAGGCAGCAGUGGGGAAUUUUGGACAAUGGGCGCAAGCCUGAUCCAGCAAUGCCGCGUGCGGGAAGAAGGCCUUCGGGUUGUAAACCGCUUUUGGCAGGAACGAAACGGUGUCCGCUAAUACCGGGCGCUAAUGACGGUACUUGCAGAAUAAGCACCGGCUAACUACGUG
rnacentral:rRNA from 1 species